rnacentral:rRNA from 1 species
GACAUAGGUGGCGAACGUUAUCCGGAAUUAUUGGGCGUAAAGGGUGCGUAGGUGGUUUAAUAAGUUACUGGUGGGAAAUCGGGGCUCAACCUCGUGGAAGUCAGUAAUACUGUUGAACUAGAGGGUCGGAGAGGUUAACGGAAUGGUUCAUGUAGGGGUAAAAUCCUCAAAUAUGAAUUAGAACACCAAUUGGCGAAGGCAGUUAACUAUUCGACUCCUGACAUUGAGGCACGAAAGCGUGGGGAGCAAGACGG